UAAUAAUCCACACAUGAGCCAAAGCUUAAUGCUGGAACAAGACUGGUUUAAUUCAAUUUAUACAGCAUCAAACUCCUCCUCUGAGCCAGCAAGAUAAUUGAGUUUUGGAAACAUACUAAACUCAAUUAUCUGCUGGCCAGAAAAAUCUUACACUUUCACAUUUUCCAGAAAUAUCAUAACCAGACAUAAAAAAACCCCACAAAUAUCCCCGGGUAGCUGAGCUUGAUGGGAGUAACAUAUGAAAAAU